GUCACCAAGCUACAGUUUUAGGGGUAUGUCUGACGCCUUCUUCGGAGUUUGUUUGUGAAAAGUGUCGAAUUAGGACGAUGCAAACUUAGAUAACGGAAUAAACUCGGGCUGGGCUCAUCUAACUUAAGAAAUCAACUCGACGUGAUUGAUGAAAUUUGCAACGAACUUUUGGCCAUCAUUCAAUAUGAUCUCAAAUCCGUGAGAUAAUUUUAUCUCAACUACCUCAAUUUAUCGUGUGCGGCCACCAAUCUUCAGGAAAAAGCUCUGUUAUUAGGCGAAUAUCUGGUAGUCCAAUCACCGCAUUCAGCUAAUCUUUGUACCAGGGAUGCCACCACGAUUCUUAUGGAAAGAACAGAUGCACUCCGAGUAGGCGUUCCCUUCUAAACUUUAAAGGCAACGUGGUUACUUCUGAUGGUAGUAUUGAAAAGAUGGAAAGGGAAAAGAGUUGGUGGAGCUUACCGAGCGCAGGUCAACGCUACUUUGGUAGAUCUUCCCGGAGUUACCAACAUUAGCGACGAAGACGACCUCACUGUUAAUAAAAAUAAUGGGGAGAUACGCAAAGAUGCCUGAAACUCUAAUGCUCCAUGUUAUCCGCGGGAUCAAGAUCAAGGUUUGGACUAAUUGUGAUAAACUUGAAAAUUUUGAUCGCGAUAACAAUUACGAGAUGAACGAGUCUACAAAA